rnacentral:tRNA from 1 species
UGGCGGAUCGUUCAAGGGUAGGACUGCGGAUUUUGGAUCCGCCAAUCUAGGUUCGAAUCCUAGUCCGCCAGCCA